CAGUUAAUGAUCAGUUGCAUCGCGCGUUUUUUUCUAUCCUUUAUUCUAUUUUUUUUUAAACACGGACGUCAUAACAGCCGUCUUAUCGAUGACACUAUGUUAGUGAACACAACUUCUGCUCUGCUAACAAUGCAGAAUAUAUAACGAGAUGUCUCGCUUUAUACACGUCCGCUCUUUCGUUCGGAAAUCUCAUCGUCUCUUCGUUUCUCUUUACACAUAAGUGUAGUUUGGUUUCGCAGUUUCGCGUAUAAAUUCGUAAACAUAUUGUGAGAUAAUUUUUCAUGAUAGACAAAUGUAAUUGAUACGACGAGACGAGUAGAUGACCGACACAUCGACUAAAAUGUUCGAGCUUCCAAUGAGGCCGCGACGUGUCCUAAGCAAGCUUUUUAUCUGUGAUGUUAUUGUUGGCGACAUAACCAUUGUUCGUGCCGUUGCUAUAACAGCUGUUGUACUCCUUGUUGUAGAUCGUGGCAUAUGAAGACACGCCGUUGUGAGUCGCGCUGCCGUUCUCAUCCAAAAUCGGCAUACAACCUCCACCGGACGUACCGUUGUGCAUCUUCUUCGCGGAGCUUUUGCUCCUGGUGCCGCUCACAUAUUUUGUUUUGUAAAAGUCCGAGAACAGUCCGAGGAAUAGAACACCGUGCAGACCAAUCCAGAUCAUGAAACCUCGUGGAUAAUUGCACUCGGUGAAGAGCAAUUGGAAUUGAUGGCACAUGAUCAGCACGAAUUGAAUCUAUUCGGAAGGUAAACAGUGAAACAACGUAAAAUUCGGGAGUGCUGUUAAAAGUAUCGCGCGUAUAAGUGUGAAAGUGUCGUUAAAAGUAUUUCGCGCGUACAAGUGCGGGAGUGUCGUUAAAAGUAUCGCGCGUGUUAAUCAACGGAUCUUAACAACCUGAGAGGAGGAGGAGGCCUGGGGAAGGCAUCAGGCAUCGGCAGAGCAACCCUAAGAGACAACGUGAAACUUGAACAUCAACUAUGCUGUUGUACAUCGGUGUCGG